rnacentral:rRNA from 1 species
UACGUAGGGUGCAAGCGUUGUCCGGAUUUAUUGGGCGUAAAGAGCUCGUAGGCGGCUCGGUAAGUCGGGUGUGAAAACUCGGGGCUCAACCCCGAGACGCCACUCGAUACUGCCAUGGCUAGAGUCCGGUAGGGGAGCGUGGAAUUCCUGGUGUAGCGGUGAAAUGCGCAGAUAUCAGGAGGAACACCGGUGGCGAAGGCGGCGCUCUGGGCCGGAACUGACGCUGAGGAGCGAAAGCGUGGGGAGCAAACAGG